rnacentral:rRNA from 1 species
GUAGGUGGCAAGCGUUGUCCGGAAUUAUUGGGGCGUAAAGCGCGCGCAGGCGGUUCUUUAAGUCUGAUGUGAAAGCCCACGGGCUCAACCGUGGAGGGUCAUUGGAAACUGGAGAACUUGAGUACAGAAGAGGAAAGCGGAAUUCCACGUGUAGCGGUGAAAUGCGUAGAGAUGUGGAGGAACACCAGUGGCGAAGGCGGCUUUCUGGUCUGUAACUGACGCUGAGGCGCGAAAGCGUGGGGGGCAAACAGGAUUAGAUACCCUGGUAGUCCACGCCGUAAACGAUGAGUGCUAAGUGUUAGGGGGUUUCCGCCCCUUAGUGCUGCAGCUAACGCAUUAAGCACUCCGCCUGGGGAGUACGGCCGCAAAGGCUGA